AGAGUUAAACAGUGCGUGAAAUUGUUGAAAGGGAAACGCUUGACACCAGUCAUGCGAGCGGAAAAUCAGUCUUUUGCAGUGGGGAGUUGUGUGGGUUCGGACCGCAAGGCCGGCCUGCGCUGCAUCUCUGCUGUAAGUGAUGCACUUUUUCGUUUGCAGGCCAACAUCAGUUUCUUCUGCUGGACAAAACUCUUGAGAAGGUAGCAGCUUUGGCUGUGUUAUAGCUCUGGGGCGAUACAGUGGCGGGGACUGAGGUUUUCGCAGUGUGUGCUCUCGGGCAAGGCUGACUGGGUGCUAUGGGAUGGUUCAGUGUACAAUGCAUGCAUCUUGCGCUGGGUCUGUCCUGUACUCGCCUAUCUCAGCUCUUCCACGCUUAGGAUGUUGACAUAAUGGUUUUAAACGACC
rnacentral:ncRNA from 2 species